rnacentral:rRNA from 1 species
UACGUAGGGUGCAAGCGUUAAUCGGAAUUACUGGGCGUAAAGCGUGCGCAGGCGGUUGUGCAAGACCGAUGUGAAAUCCCCGGGCUCAACCUGGGAAUGGCAUUGGUGACUGCACGGCUAGAGUGUGUCAGAGGGGGGUAGAAUUCCACGUGUAGCAGUGAAAUGCGUAGAGAUGUGGAGGAAUACCGAUGGCGAAGGCAGCCUCCUGGGCCAACACUGACGCUCAUGCACGAAAGCGUGGGGAGCAAACAGG